rnacentral:sRNA from 1 species
ACUCAUUUAAGCCUAAACUCAUUUGAUUAUGAGUUGAGUUGAGUUGGGUUACUAUAACGCCCGCGUCCGGUUUGUUACUACAACCCAUAAGAGGCCGGUUUGUUUUAGGGAAAAACAAGAUCAUGGUCGAGGAACGGACGAAAAUACUUAGUCGGAAGAACGAGAAAGUUCAAGCUGAACCAGUGAGG